UAGGGAAUAUUGCUCGAUGGGCGAAAGCCUGAAGCAGCAACGCCGCGUGUGCGAUGAAGGUCUUCGGAUCGUAAAGCACUUUUCUGAGAGAUGAGAAAGGACAGUAUCUCAGGAAUAAGUCUCGGCUAACUACGUGCCAGCAGCCGCGGUAAAACGUAGGAGGCGAGCGUUAUCCGGAUUCACUGGGCGUAAAGCGCGUGCAGGUGGUCUGGCAAGUUGGAUGUGAAAUCUCCCGGCUCAACUGGGAGGGGUCGUUCAAUACUACCGGACUUGAGAGCAGUAGAGGGGGGUGGAAUUGCUGGUGUAGUGGUGAAAUGCGUAGAUAUCAGCAGGAACACCUGUGGCGAAAGCGGCCCCCUGGUCUGCUCCUGACACUCAGACGCGAAAGCUAGGGGAGUGAACGGGAUUAGAAACCCCGGUAAUCCUAGCCGUAAACGAUGGAUGCUAGGUGUGGGUGGUAUUGACCCCAUCCGUGCCGAAGCUAACGCGUUAAGCAUCCCGCCUGGGGACUACAGCCGCAAGGUUA
rnacentral:rRNA from 1 species